CAACGACAAGUGCUUGGUAUUAUUUUAUAGUAAAUUGCACUUACAAUUAACAAAAAAAAAAAAUUCAUAAAUAAUUUCCACGUGCUAAUAGAUUUCCUGUAUCAGCAGGACUGUUGCUUUUAUUUCGUUUGAAAGUUAUUGACAAUGAAUAUCGGCCGCUUGUAUAUCGUCCAACCUGUGCAAUAUAUCGUUUUUCCAGUUAUUAAUUACAAGGAAAUCAUACGUCCAGUCGUUAAAGGAUACGAUUCUCUUGUUUUGGACAAAUGCUGGAUAUUUCAAUUACAUUGACUUCUUACCAAAAAUCUUUUAUGUUUGUAACGCAACUACACCAUUUUCCUCUACUACACGUUGAAACGAUGGAAACGAGGAGGCAAAAGAAAAGAAUGCAGAAGCCGUUCGAACGUUCGCCAAAGGAGAUAACAUAACCCAGAUUACUUUAUCAUGUUAAGCGAUGACAGCGUCCAUAGGUGUGUGAAGUCGGACAGAAAGUCAACGCGUUGACCAACGCGUUGAAGUGGUAGCGAUAAUGGCUGCCCGUUGAUGAUAUACAAUACAAGCAACCACGUCGUUUGCCUACGCGGCGAUCAACAUAAAUCGCGAGAAACGCUUUCAGCGUGAAAAAUAGCUCGCCUUUUGAUCGAUCCGUAUCGCGCCCGACUGUGCCAUACGAUUUCUACAUGCACGCGCGUGCCCACUUUAUUAUACAUGUAAAAGUUGAA
rnacentral:misc_RNA from 1 species